UUCCGGUUGAUCCUGCCGGACCCGACUGCUAUUUGGGUGAGAAUAAGCCAUGCGAGUCGAAUAGGAUUCCUAAAUUUCCCAUGGCAAACUGCUCAGUAACACAUGAUCAACUUACCCUAUAGAGAAAAAUAACCUCGGGAAACUGAGGAUAAUAUUUCAUAAUUGAAUCGGCUUGGAAAAGUUUUUCAAUUAAAAGAAUAAGAAAAAUGGUUCUUAUUCGCUAUAGGAUAGGAUCGUGGUCGAUUAUGGUUGUUGGUGAGGUAAUGGCUCACCAAGCCGAUAAUCGAUAGGGGCCGUGAGAGCGGGAGCCCCGAGAUGGGUACUGAGACAACGACCCAGGCCUUACGAGGCGCAGCAGGCGCGAAACCUCCGCAAUACACGAAAGUGUGACGGGGUUACCCAAAGUGUUCAAUUUUGAACUGUGGUAGGUGAGUAAUGUUCCCUACUAGAAAGGAGAGAGCAAGGCUGGUGCCAGCCGCCGCGGUAAAACCAGCUCUUCAAGUGGUCGGGAUAAUUAUUGGGCUUAAAGUGUCCGUAGCCGGUUUAGUAAGUUCCUGGUAAAAUCGGGUAGCUUAACUAUCUGUAUGCUAGGAAUACUGCUAUACUAGAGGACGGGAGAGGUCUGAGGUACUACAGGGGUAGGGGUGAAAUCUUAUAAUCCUUGUAGGACCACCAGUGGCGAAGGCGUCAGACUGGAACGUGCCUGACGGUGAGGGACGAAAGCCAGGGGAGCGAACCGGAUUAGAUACCCGGGUAGUCCUGGCCGUAAACGAUGCAUACUAGGUGAUGGCAUGGCCAUGAGCCGUGUCAGUGCCGUAGGGAAACCGUUAAGUGUGCCGCCUGGGAAGUACGGUCGCAA
rnacentral:rRNA from 1 species